GACGAACGCUGGCGGCGCGCUUAACACAUGCAAGUCGAACGGAAAGGCCUGCUUUCCCUUGUGGAUUGCGGGUACUCGAGUGGCGAACGGGUGAGUAACACGUGAGUGAUCUGCCCCCAACUUGGGUAUAAGCCUGGGAAACUGGGUCUAAUUCCCGAUAGGACUGCAGGGUGGUGCCUGUGGUGGAAAACGAUUUUCUAGUGAUUGGGGAUGAGCUCGCGGCCUAUCAGCUUGUUGGUGGGGUAAUGGCCUACCAAGGCGGCGACGGGUAGCCGGCCUGAGAGGGUGGACGGCCACAUUGGGACUGAGAUACGGCCCAGACUCCUACGGGAGGCAGCAGUGGGGAAUAGUGCACAAUGGGCGGAAGCCUGAUGCAGCGACGCCGCGUGGGGGAUGACGGCCUUCGGGUUGUAAACUCCUUUCGACCGCGAGGAAGCCACCUGGUUGGAAGGGUGGUGACGGUAGUGGUAGAAGAAGCACCGGCUAACUACGUG
rnacentral:rRNA from 1 species